AUUGAACGCUGGCGGCAUGCCUUACACAUGCAAGUCGAACGGCAGCACGGUAGCUUGCUGCUGUUACGGGGUGCCAGUCGCGUGCGGGUUACGUCGACACAGGUCCUUAAGUUGGCGUGAGCGAGACCGAAGGGAAAUUAAUACUGCUACCGCACACCACCUACGAGCGAAAGCAGUUGGGCUUCGGCGCUUGCGCGUUUGACGGUGGCGGUGUCGGAUUAGCUAGUUGGUGGGGUAAAGGCCCACCAAGGCGACGAUCCGUAGCUGGUCUGAGAGGAUGAUCAGCCACACUGGAACUGAGACACGGUCCAGACUCCUACGGGAGGCAGCAGUGGGGAAUAUUGGACAAUGGGCGAAAGCCUGAUCCAGCCAUGCCGCGUGGGUGAAGAAGGCCUUCGGGUUGUAAAGCCCUUUUGUUGGGAAAGAAAAGCAGCGGGUUAAUACGGCGGGGUGAUGACGGUACCCGAAGAAUAAGCACCGGCUAACUACGUG
rnacentral:rRNA from 1 species